UACGUAGGGGGCAAGCGUUGUCCGGAAUCAUUGGGCGUAAAGCGCGUGUAGGCGGCUUGGUAAGUCUGCUCUGAAAGCCCGGGGCUCAACCCCGGGAGGCGGGUGGAUACUGUCAAGCUCGAGUCCGGAAGAGGAGUGUGGAAUUCCUGGUGUAGCGGUGAAAUGCGCAGAUAUCAGGAGGAACACCGGUGGCGAAGGCGGCAUCCUGGACCGGUAUUGACGCUGAGGCGCGAAAGCUAGGGGAGCAAACGGG
rnacentral:rRNA from 1 species